CACUGCCCCUCAGGGGGCAGGGGGCUGGUGAUUCCUGAGGGAGCCCUGCCCCCUUCCAGGGUGAAUUUUCCUAAGUCACCAUGGAGAACCAGCAGCCCAGAAUCAGUGCCCUGCCAGGCAGGAUUGCUUGGCCAUAACAAAGAUCCAUUGCCUUUCUGAUGACACCCAGCACCUCGGAUUCUGUAUACACGGGAGGUGAUUUAAGCAUCUUACUGCCACCCUGAAAUCUGGGGUCCUUUAUCCUGGCAGGAUCUAGACCCGUAACGCCCACUUCAGAAUGGGAGGGAGGAUGUCUGCUGCCCUGUCGUCUCCACACCCGAGGAAUGUCCGUGUGUGUGUGUGUGUGGUGUGCACAGCGGGCUGCACACAGCGGGCUCCACGGUGCUCGGAUGGAGGCCCUAAUGUGAAUGGAGACUAGCCUGCUGGUAGAGACCUUGGCAGUGACCGCUGUGGGCAAUGAGCCAUGGGCCAACAAUGUUCAAUGCUGUGUACCUGAUGGAUGGUUACUGUCUGAGACUGAGGCUUUUUGGGCCAGGAGUAAAAGGACUUGGGUUGUACUUGAUUGCGUCCUGUGGAUGCUUGCCUACCAACUGACUCAUCCUGACGUGCCAAAGGUCCUGGCUUUCCCCUGUGUGGGUAAGGGAAGAAGAGAGUUCUGUUCACUUCAACCCCACGAUCCUAAGCACACCUGUACCUGCCCUGGAAUCCCUCAGCCAUGUUUGUCCCACAGAGCAUCACUAUCAAACAGUUCACUGUGGACUCCUCGUAGCAGAAGUACAGUAGGGGACAGCAAGUGUCAGCUCCAUCAGGACCCCUGAUUUAAUUAUUUACUGUGGAACCAUUGUCCUGAGUCAGGAGGAUAGAUGAGGAAAGGAUGAGAGCGUGGCUGGCAUCGCUUCAUGAUUACAUUCUGGGAAAGAUCUUGCCUGUUAACCUCUAGAGAAGGAGGGACGAUACAGACGAUGAAGACUAUAGCAGACUGAAUUACUCUCUGAGAUGAGGACUUUGCUAUUGCCAUUGCAGGACCACUGGUGGAAGUUGUUGUUAAACAGUGGGUCUUGCAUGCAAGCUCUACAGUUAUGCACAGUAUUUCCAUGACAUCCCAAGCCAUGAGGUUCAUGCUGCCAUAUCCCCCUGUUUAACAAGUGUGGAAACUGAUGAUGGACUCACAAUUGCUGAUGUAUAGGUUCUAAUGUUUUCUAUUGUGGACACGGGACACCCAGACUGAGGACCAAUGGCUCCAGUCUGAUUUAAACAUGGGUCCGUGCUCACACACUCAAUACCUACCCUCUGUGCUCACAAGUCCUGUGUGAGUAAGACUCCAAAUUAUUCUGUCUUGUUUUACUCAAUGGUAUGCUCUACCUUAUUAUAGAGUAUACCAUGUAUUGAGACAAGAAUGCCAGUCAUUCUGAGAAACAAAAUGCAACCAUUAGUUGUCAUUUUAAUUAGUGACGAAUAGUUGUGUCAAUCAUCAAACAUGCUUGUAUAAUUGGAUGAGAAGAGGUGUAACACGGGCCAAUGAUGACGAGGUUUCGGGAUUAUAAGUCACGGACGAUGACUACGUCACUAGAGGUCUGAGGUCCAUAGCAGAAGAUGCCUCAUGUGACCCUCUCAUGCAGGGGUUGCAUGUCAGGCAUGUGCAUACAGUAGAUAUUAGCCAUGCACUCUCACCAUUUCAUAGUAGAUCACAGAAUCAAGAUACAAAUCUCCAUGCACGGAAAGGAUUUAAGGCAUUGAUCAAUCCUGAACAUAAAUAUUUGGCCAUCAAUGAUAUUUACGCACACACUGAAAAAUCUAUUCAGAAUGACUUACACAAAGGUUUAUAUAACCUUUAUCAAAGGUAAUUUAUAUAGUAAGAUUCAUGGCUGAAGUCUUCAUGAUGGUCAAGGCCUUAAUUUUUAAAAUUAUCAAUUUUUUUCUUUUCUUUUUUUUUAACUUGAAUUUUUUUUUAAUGAAAACUAUCAUGACAAUUUGUCUCUUAAAUGAAAGGAGAAAUGUAAAACUAAAUGGACAAAUAUCAACCUUUUUAUUAUCUUUGCUGUUGUGCCCUCCCUGGAUGGGUGCUGGCACAUGAUGUCUUGCCUGCUGGUCCGUGGUUGCACUCUCACCAUGUGGAUGGAGCUCGGCAGCUGAAGUAAGUGAAGCCAAAGAUCUGCUCUUCAUUUGAGUUUCUUUGAUAAGACACCCCUGCUGUGGUAAAGCCAUGCAUAGGCUCCUUUCAGCCCUAUUCAGACUGUGUGCUCAACGCAACAUGACCACAAACACUGGGUUAAGAAUAGCCAAAAUUAAGACAGAGAGGCAGGGUGGCACAAGAUCUGUUAGUUAUUCAACAAACGAGGAUAGGAAUUUGUGAGGAAGACUUUACAAGUGAGAUGAAUAGUUAGGCAAUCCAUCACAACUAUAGGUCUGAGAGUCUCAGGUCCACACCAGAACACAGGUACAGCUACAGCUGUGAGCUAGAUAUCAGAAGUGGUUUAAUAUGUUAUCUUGAUCUUUAUAUUCAUGAGUUUUCAUUUUAUUUUUAUAAGGUAGCUAAAAUAUAACAAACAAUAGCACAUUGCAAUCUCAAAUUAUGAACAAUACACACAUCCAAAUUUCUAAGUGCAUUUUGAAUAUGUAGACGAGAUCUUUGUCCAGUGAUCGAUUUCUUAUAUUGGCAGAGCAGUUCUUAUAGUUAUCUUCCCUUCCCCAGAAAAGAGUACCAUGCAUUAUGUUUGUGGAAAAAAACACAAAACAACAUAAUUAUCAUUGGAACGAAUAUAAUUAUGUGCCUAGUCUGUUUUGUUUACAUCUGUAUGUGAUAUCUCAAGCUGUCUUCCCUUUCCUACCUAGUCCUGACACCUCUGACUAGCCUUGGGUCUUUAGAGCACAUUAGGCUGUGUAAAUGCAGUUCAUGUUCUUUUCUUACUAUGAACACUUCUCCUUAUUGACAAAUGAAUCCCUAAUAACUCAAGGAUGACACCCAUGUUUAAUGACAGAUGUAGCAUGUGACAGAUUUUAUUAAUAUUCAUAAAAUUAGGAUAGAUAUGAUGACACACGAAAUAAGCAAAGAUCCUUUAGAUAGCUCUAAAGCAUAUUUAAGAAUAUCAAUUAAAAGCUUUUAUAAGUCAUGUUUAUCUAAUUAGUAUAAAACAAUAAGGAUCUCAAUAAAUAAAUAUAAAGAUUAAUGAAAAUUUGUAGGGCUUAUGUUGGAUAAAUGAUAACCCCUGUCGCAUAUGAAUCAAGGACCAUGACUCCUGGGCUGCUCUUACAUCUUAAAGCCUGUGGUUCAUGCUUGGCAUUCUGGUUAUAGAUGCCAGAUGAAUGUUUGUGUUGAUUAAUUUUACUAUAUUCCAUACCUGAAGUCUGCUGAAGGAGUCAUUGAUGAAAUAACCCCAAAGUAAAUCCAGUAUUUUUAUUUGUUGACUGGAAAAUAAAUACAUGACAAAUUCUAGAAAUAUGCACAAAAUAACUGCACUUAAGAGUAUCUAUUGAUGUGAUUGGUACCAUGUUGAACUGUAAGUUGGGAAUCUUAGAGCCUGUCCAUUAUCAAAUAAAGUUCGGGAAGAAACCAGGGGAUAAAUAUGGAGGCCUUUACUGAAGCAGAGAUCACAGAGGAAUGUUUCUCGUUCUUCAUAACUUUCAUAGCUUGUUUUUUAUAGCUCCAAAGAGUAUUUAACGCACACCAGAUCCUAGCAAGCACUUAUUUCUUUAGGUGCAUCCCAAAAUAUAUCCAAAUAUUCGAAAAUAUACCCAAAAAUGGAGUGUUGGUAAUGCUUUUCUGGUUUCAAAGUUCAUGUGUUCAGAAUAUAAGGAUCAAUUUUUAUGUCAUUAAUGGAUGUACACUGAAAUGUAUCUGUGCAUUGAGUUACACUAUCUCAUCCAUAACCCUGAUACUAGUGGCAGAGUCUAGGAAUAGUCUUCCUUUAUAAUUAGACAAGAACAUUAACAGAAGUAAGUUUGUAAGUCACUUUCUAACACCAAACUACUCCAGAGACUAGAGAGACAGAUAGCUCAGUGGAUAAAAGAACUUACUGUUCUUGUAGAAGACCCACAGUGGGCUGAAUCGCCCAUGUGACAGCCUGUAACUCUAGUUCUUAUGUAUCUGGUACCAUCAUCUGGUCUCUUUACCACAUACAUGUGUCACAAAUACAAAAUGCAGAUUAAAAAAAUCAUUAAAUAGAUAAAAAUAAAAUAAAUAUUUGAGAAAAUAAUUCCACAUGAGUUAUUAAAAUUAGUUAUACCAUCAUUAUAUUAAAAAAUACAGUAAUUUAUGAAAACAGGAUGACUGAGGAGUAGACAGGAAAGAAAACUGUAAGAACCUUCUUAGUAUGGUUCAGAGCUAUAUGUCUAGUGUUUUACAUCAUAAUAGAACAUAUAGUAGUGUCACACAUACAGAUGUUUGAGAAGAGGUGCGAGGCAAGUACACAGAUCAUCUGAACAAAGGAACAAAAUACCAAUUUUCUUUUGUUGAUCUCUUCUGUUUUGAACUCUCAGAAUGCAUUCUUCCACCAAGAUGAUUUACACAGCCUAGCUGGAUCAGGAGCCCCCUAAUAAGCUGCUUCAGAUUGUAAUAUAGACACAGUGUAAGUACAGUCCAUAUUCUGCUGUCGCUUCAUGUUGCAUUUAAAGGCCAUUUACUGUAUUGAUAAGGGCACUAUCUGUUUUAGGAAGAACAGUCAAGUAAAGGCUGCGUAUGGCAUGUGUUUGACGCACAAGGUUUAAUGAAGUUGUUUCAAAUUAAGGAUAUGUAUUGAAAACUGCUUCAUAACUCAAAAAGAAACUGAGGAACUCUGAAGUUUACUGGAAUCUCUUGUCUUUAGUUUUUUGGUGUUUUUUUGGUGGUUUUUUUGUUUUUGUUUUUGUUUUUUUUUUUUGUGAAUCACAAUGAUCCCAGUAGUACUUGUAAUCGUUUGCACACUAAAGAUGCCUACGUGAGUAGAGAAGCAGAGACUGAUGUUGGAUCAAUGAUGACUGUGGGUGCUGUAUGAGUCGUGUAUUAUGACUAUGCGUCUGAGAGUCUGAGGUUCACAUCGUAAUAUAUGUAGAGCAUCCUAUGAUCUUAGUGACAGAUGUUAGGAGUAGUCUACAUUUACAUGUAGAUAAAAUGGUGAUACAUUUGGAAAUCAUUUCUAAUAAGACAUAAUUCCAUAGCAAUAAUGUUAAGCACAUAGACUAAAUAGUGUUUCAUUCAGAUAUGAUAACUGGGGGUUCCCCAUGAGUGAUCUAAAAUUGUUAGCAAAGUUCUUGCUCACCUCAGAGCCAUGCCCAUUUGAUCUGUAAUGCAGAGAUAGUAAUAGAAUAAUGAAGACCUCAUGAGGGAUAUGGUGGAGAAUGACCCAGAGAAGCAGACGGAAUGCAGUUACCUAAACAGAAUCUUAACCUUUUUAUAAUUUUUCUGCUUUUUGCUCUCAGAAUGUAUGCCUGCAGGAUGAGUCCCACCUUCUUCAUUAGUCUUGAGGUUUGAGAUUCCCUGUUUGUGUCUGCAGGAUUCAGAUAGUGUGAGUAUAGUCUGUGUUCUUGUGUUGGAAUUCUUUUGCUUGCAUAAAAACAGGGUAGAAAAUAUUUCUGGGGCUGGUGAGAUGGCUCAGAGGUUGAGAGCACUGACUGUUCUCCCUGAUGUCCUGAGUUCAAUUCCCAGCAACCCCAUGGUGGCUCACAACCAUCUGUAAGGGCUCUGAUGCACUCUUCUGGUGUGUCUGAUGACAGCAGCAGUGUACUCCUGUUCCUAAAAUAAAUAAUUAUUUUAAAUACAUUAUUAUCUCUGAAGAGCAGAUGUAGCCAUAGGCAUAUAAGAUGUAUAUGAAGCACAAUGUUUAAUAAAAUUUUACCAAAUUAAGAUUGUGCAACAAUAGAGAUAGGCAUCAGUGCAGAAGAUCCCGUAGAGGUUUAACUGCACUCACGGAUCUUAUAGUUAGGGCUUGUCUCCAGUGGAGAUUUUCGCAAUGGUCCUAGUCAUCCAUUGCUCAAUAAUUUUACAUAGAUUAGUAGGGAAGAGGAGGACUGAUGUUGGAUCAAUGAUGAAUGUCUGUGAGCAUUCUUAGAGUCAUGAAUCAUGACGACAAAUUUAAUUCUGAGAUCAACAUCAUAAAGUAUCCAGUGACAGCUAUAAGAAGUAGUCUUCUUUUAUAAGUCAGUAAAUGUAAAUAAAAAUUGACUAGGAAGUCAUUUAAUCAAAAGGCAGCUCACAAAGAAGACUACAUAUAUGUAUAUAUGUAUAUAUGUAAGAAGAAAGUGUGACAGAGUAAUGACCAUGGAGGUGAGGGAUAAGAUGAAAUGAGCAGAAGCAGGCAGAAUACAUAGAUAAGCGAACGGAACAUCAAUCUCUUUAUAACCUCUUCUGUCUAUACUUCAAGAAUGGAUAUCCUGCAAGUCGGCUUCGUAGAGUCUCCCUUGAAAGUGGACCUCAUGAUCUAGCCUUUAUGUCCGUGGAUUGACACUGUGAUGGAUUCCCCCCAAGUUCAUUUAGAUAUUCUCUCUUAUUCAUAAAUGUCACGGUCAGCUCUGUUCUUAUAGAUACCAGGUGAGUAUAGCCAACGUUCUUUUGUUGCUUCAUGUUGCUUUUUAAUGGCUGUGCAUAUACUGAGAAAAGAAAGUCCAGUUAUUAUCUGGGAAGAGCAUCCCGCUUAAAGUGUUAAAUGGCAGUUAGAUGAAACAGAAUGUUUAUGAGUAUUUCCAGAAGAGGAAUGUAUAACAGAAAAGAUUCUAAUCAUGGCAAAAGAUCCUGAGGACCUUCAGAGUACACGCAACGAUCUUGUCCUUAGAUUGUGUCAUUUAUUAUCAUCUUAGAGGCACUAGUGAGAUUAAUUGCUCAAUGGAUACCCCUAAGCUGAUGUAUAUACACCCUUCCUCGGUUGUGAGAUUCCUGCUCUGGUGGUUGUAGUCAUAAGAUAUACAUCGUUGCGUACACCUUGGUUGUGGGCACGCACACUACUGUUGAAUUACCACCUUGUCCAAGUGGAUGGAUGCCCUCAAUGGGAUUGGCACUUUCUCCAUUGCUCCUGCACUCUGUUAUCAGCACUUCGGGUUCAUAAUGUACACACAGCGAUGGAUUUUCUGCAGCUGAUUUUCUAUAUUCUGUUUUCUUCGGGUAAGCAGAGACAGAUGCCUUCCUCACUGGUCACCAGGUUCAAGGUCCCUCAUAUGUGUCAGGUGCAUAGUCACCAACGAAGGCCAACUUCACAUCAAUGGGUGGAUCGUACCUCGGCCUAAGCUCCAGGAUUGAUUGUGCUGUUAGAGUCACAGCUACAACCGGCUCAGGGAACCCAGUGGAAGAGGAGGUGGAGUGUGAGAGCCAAUUGGAAUGGAAGACAGUGAGGAAACAAGGCCUUCGAGACACAAGAGGACUGCUGAGCUCACAAAGACUGAGGCAGCACCCUCAGGACCUGCACAGGUCUAAGCUUGAUGCGAUCUGAGUACUGAGAGGGCAACUGGACACAAUUCUAUAUUGAUAACCCAGAAGCUUUCUCCAGUUGAUAAACUCUUUCAAAGGAAAAACUUGUUUUCUACCAUGGAGUGACACUGGAUAUAGAAACUACCGUUAACAGCAGACUCCAUGGCUCAGACUUCCAAUACAAUAUGAACUCAGUUGCAAUUUUUUGCAAGGUUUUUCGACUCAUAGUUCUUUGUCUGGGUACUUUUUCACCCUACAGAGAAUUUCUGUAUAUAUUAUCGUUUCUGAUUCUAGUGUUUUGAAUUUUCGCUGGGUCUAAAUAUCUCUGUCUCAGUGUCAGUAUGUGUUUCUCAUGAUUUUUCUUUGCUUCUCUUUUUCCUAUUCUUUGCUUGUAUUCCCUGGUUUGUGUUUGAGUGUCUGGGAACUCUGAGGGUCUGGUUGGUGAUAUUGUUGUUCUUCCUAUGGGGUUGAAAACCCCUUCAGCUCCUUCAGCCUUUCACUAAGUCCUCCAUUAUUAUGAUUCCUAUGCUCAGUCCAGUGGUUGGAUGUGAGCCCCCCCCCCCCUCUGCAUUUGUCAGGCUCCGGCAGAGCCUCUAAGGAGAUAGCUAUAUUAGGCUCUUGUCAGCUUUGUUUGUUUUUAUUCUGUCUUCUCUAUACUGUUUAUUUUAGAUAACUGUGUUUAUUCUAAUGUAUGAAUGAAUAAAUGGGUGUGUGUUUGGGUGGGUGGGGAAUUGGGGAGGGUGGGGGUGGAUGUGGGAGGGGAAACUGUAACACAAAUACAUUGUAUAAAAGUACAUUUUAAUAAAUGUAUUUCUUCUAUGACUA
rnacentral:lncRNA from 1 species